UACAGAGGUCUCAAGCGUUGUUCGGAUUCAUUGGGCGUAAAGGGUGCGUAGGCGGCGCGGUAAGUCGGAUGUGAAAUCUCGGAGCUUAACUUCGAAACUGCAUUCGAUACUGGGCGGCUAGGAGUCUGGUAGGGGGAUCUGGAAUUCCUGGUGUAGCGGUGGAAUGCGCAGAUAUCAGGAGGAACACCGGUGGCGAAGGCGGGGUCUCUGGGCAACAACUGACGCUGGAGGAGCG
rnacentral:rRNA from 1 species